rnacentral:rRNA from 1 species
UUAUGGCCCCCCAACCGGGCUGGCCCCCCAAACACCCAGGGACGGCAGGGGGGUUCCAAGAAUCCAAGAAUUCCCUGGCUGCCAUUUCCAUUACUUAACCCGGUUCCCUUCCGCCUUUCUCCAUGCCAGAACCCAAAAAUUCGUUGGUGAAAGUUGGAU